rnacentral:tRNA from 1 species
GGAUUGUGGCUCAGCGGUAGAGCGCUUGUCUAGCAUGUGUGAGGCCCUGGGUUCGAUCCCCAGCACCA